CGCCGAGCACCGAGACGAGUCCUAUGAGGACGAAGUGACUGACACCACGCUUCCAGGAAAAGCCACUAAGCUUCAGCUUAAGAAAAACCGUACCGCAAACCGACACAGGUAGGCAGGGUGAGAAUCCCAAGGCGCUUGAGAGAACUCGGGUGAAGGAACUAGGCAAAAUGGCACCGUAACUUCGGGAGAAGGUGCGCCCUUUGGUGUGGUCACGUGCGUGACUGAGCAUCGAAGGGUCGCAGUAACCUGGCCGCUGCGACUGUUUAUCAAAAACACAGCACUCUGCAAACACGAAAGUGGACGUAUAGGGUGUGACGCCUGCCCGGUGCUGGAAGGUUAAUUGAUGGGGUCAGCCGCAAGGCGAAGCUCUUGAUCGAAGCCCCAGUAAACGGCGGCCGUAACAAUAACGGUCCUAAGGUAGCGAAAUUCCUUGUCGGGUAGGUUCCGACCUGCACGAAUGGCGUAACGACAGCGGCGCUGUCUCCACCCGAGACUCAGUGAAAUUGAAAUCGCUGUGAAGAUGCAGCGUUCCCGCGGCAAGACGGAAAGACCCCGUGAACCUUUACUAUAGCUUUACACUGAACGUUGUGUUCUUCUGUGUAGGAUAGGUGGGAGGCUAUGAAACCAGGACGCUAGUUCUGGUGGAGCCAUCCUUGAAAUACCACCCUGAAGUGCUUGACGUUCUAACCUAGGCCCGUAAUCCGGGUCAGGGACCGUGUAUGGUGGGUAGUUUGACUGGGGCGGUCUCCUCCCAAAGAGUAACGGAGGAGCACGAAGGUACGCUCAGCGCGGUCGGACAUCGCGCACUGUGUGCAAAGGCAUAAGCGUGCUUGACUGCGAGAUCGACGGAUCAAGCAGGUACGAAAGUAGGUCUUAGUGAUCCGGUGGUUCUGUAUGAAGGGCCAUCGCUCAACGGAUAAAAGGUACUCCGGGGAUAACAGGCUGAUACCGCCCAAGAGUUCAUAUCGACGGCGGUGUUUGGCACCUCGAUGUCGGCUCAUCACAUCCUGGGGCUGUAGCCGGUCCCAAGGGUAUGGCUGUUCGCCAUUUAAAGUGGUACGCGAGCUGGGUUCAGAACGUCGUGAGACAGUUCGGUCCCUAUCUGUCGUGGGCGUUGGAGAUUUGAGGGGGGCUGCUCCUAGUACGAGAGGACCGGAGUGGACGUUCCGCUGGUGUUCGGGUUGUCAUGCCCAUGGCAUUGCCCGGUAGCUACGAACGGAAGUGAUAACCGCUGAAAGCAUCUAAGCGGGAAGCACGCCCCAAGAUGAGAUCUCCCGAGAGCUUGACUCUCCUAAAGGCACCAUCAAGACUAGGUGGUUGAUAGGUCAGGUGUGGAAGCGCAGCAAUGCGUUGAGCUAACUGAUACUAAUGAGCCGUGAGGCUUGAUCA
rnacentral:rRNA from 1 species